ACAGGCAGAUAUCGUGGCUCCGAAAUCUUGUUCAUUACUUCACAGAAAGAGCAAUACAAGAAUGCAUUGCUGAGGCCAAAGGGUGGCCCAACACACGUGGCUCUUGUUCUAGGAAGAUAAGGAGGGCAUGCAGCUUGCAGACGGCAGACUGGGGGACAUCUCAGCCUUCAUAAUCACCUGGGCCAAAUCCUAUACUAAAUCUGCUCUCGAGAAGGAAUUUAGUUCUGCUUCUCUGGGGAAGGCUGGCUGAUACGUGGACAUAACUGUGGGGCAGCUCAGGCACUGAGCAAGCUUGCUGAGACCCGUACUUGAAGGCAGGAUGCUAACAGUUCCCAAAACGAUGUGAAAAGGUGUGACUGAUCUCAACAGGUGGAAAAUUUCAGG